CUCUCGCUCUCUCCCUCCCUCUCUCUUUCCCCCUCUUCCCUCUGUCGUAGUAAACACACGGCUCCCCCACGGCUGGCUGCUGAUCCCACAGCCAAUAAGAACUAACGCGUAGGCCCCCCUUCAAAGUGAACAAUUUACACGGAAGAAAAAAGACACCACUACCACUGGAAAAAAAGACUGGCCUGCACAAGAGGCUGCCUUAAAGAGGAGACUACACCAGCAUAACCUCUGACGGUUCACUGCAAGAUGCAAACCACUAGUUAGCCUCAAGAACAAUACAGCCAGGCUAGAAAGAAAGAAAGAAAGAAAGAAAGAAAGAAAGAAAGAAAGAAAGAAAGAAAGAAAGAAAGAAAGAAAGAAAGAAAGAAAGAAAUAUUUAAAAGCUGUAGAGUUAUGGAACAAAGUCCCCUGGACAGAUGAGAGGAGUAUUAACCUGUACCAAAAUGAUGGGAAGAAGAAAGUGUGGAGAAAGAAAGGAACUGCUCAGUGCACCCCUCAUCUGCAAAACAUGGUGGAGGUAGUGUCAUGGCUUGGGCAUAUAGCUGCCACUGGAAUUGGUUCACUUGUCUUCAUUGAUAAUGUGACUGCUGAUGGCAGCAGAAGGGUGAAUUCUUAAGCAUACAGAAACAUCUUAUCUGCUCAGAUCCAACCAAAUGUCUCAAAACUCAUUGGAUGGUGCUUCACCUUGCAACAGGCUAAUGUCUGCAAAAAUACUGCUAAAGAAUCCAAGCAGUUUGUCUGGGCCAAAAAGUGGAAUCCAACUGAAUGUGUUUCACUCACUGAAGACAAGACUUAAGGCAAAAUGCCCCAGAAACAAACAGGAACUGAAGGCUGUAGUACAGACCUGGCAGAGCUCCACUAGAAAAGAUACCCAGCAUCUGGUGAUAUCUAUGCAUUGUAAACUUCAGGCAGUCAUCGAAUGUAAAGGAUUUGCAACCAAGUACUAAAUAUGAUGACUUUAUUUAUGAUUAUAAAUGGACGAAUGGAUGGAUGGAUAGUUUGUCUAAUUACUUUUGCUCCCCUAAAAUGGAGGGACUAUGUAUAAAAAGUGGUGUAAUUCCUACAUAGAUCUCCCAUAUGGAUGUAAAUACCCUCUAAUUAAAGCUGACAGCCUGCCCUUUAACCUCAUAUUCAUUGUUUCCUUUCAAAUCCAGUGUGCUGGAGUACAGACCGAAAUUGUCACUGUCCAAAUACUUAUUUACUGCGCUGUGUGUGUGUAUGUGUGUGUGUGUGUGUGUGUGGAACAUGAUACAAUGAUUACUAUGCAGUCAAGUAGCAGCGGAUUUGGUGCUCCAGUUAGCCUAAAUACCCAUGUUAGCAUGAGUUUUCUAUAGUUGCUGUACCCAGCUAACACCUCUUUGUCUUGGUUGGCUUUUUAAAAUCAGAUUAUCACCUGAAAGGAUAUUUAUUUGACCAGUCUCAAUAUAUUAUGCAUAGUAUCUAGCUAUCCAUUGCUCAAUUUUUAUAACAUAGGUGUUAGGAGGGGAACUAUCUAAAUUAAAUAUUGUAAGAAAAUAUAGGGCAACUGGGCCUUGGAAGGAAUGGAUGCUAUCCUUAGAUGGAAGGCAAACUGCACACAUUUGAACUUGAAAUUCAUACCUCAGUCAUGCAUGUAGGAGCCAAUUACUAUCAAUCCUGGUGAGGGUAACAUUGCUGCCACCUGCCCAACUGGAGUGGGAUAUGAAGCUAGG